GGGAACAUGCUGACAGCAGACUGGAUGCUGGGAGGUAGAAGCUGAAGGAACUGAUUUCCGCAUUGACUUAUGAGACUGUGCUCAGCGAUAUUUUUCAAGGACCCCUGGUGAUACUUUGAGCUGCCUUCAAUACAUUGAUUCCUCUAUUCUCCUGGAUUACAUCUGAGAAGAUGGCAGAUUCCCGUCUUAAGGCUCAACUGGAAUUCCUGCACCACAAUGUCCCAGUGGGUACACUUCCUGAGGAGCCUCAAACUAUAGUGGUCAGUUGCCCCUGGUGCUUCUCUGAGGAUGAUGACAGCAGCCCACAGGACCAACCUA